GCUGUGUGCAGUGGUACACACUUGUAAUCCCAGCACCUUGGGAGGCUGAGGCUGGAGGAUUGCUAGUUUGAGGCCAGAGUGGGCAAUUAGCAAGACCCUGUCUUUG
rnacentral:sRNA from 1 species